rnacentral:rRNA from 1 species
UACGUAUGGAGCAAGCGUUAUCCGGAAUUACUGGGUGUAAAGGGAGCGUAGACGGAUGUGCAAGUCUGAUGUGAAAGGCGGGGGCUCAACCCCUGGACUGCAUUGGAAACUGUAAAUCUUGAGUGCCGGAGAGGUAAGCGGAAUUCCUAGUGUAGCGGUGAAAUGCGUAGAUAUUAGGAGGAACACCAGUGGCGAAGGCGGGUUCCUGGACAUUAACUGACGCUGAGGCACGAAGGCCAGGGGAGCGAAAGGG